AUACGGGAGGCAGCAGUGGGGAAUAUUGGGCAAUGGGCGAAAGCCUGACCCAGCCACGCCGCGUGAGUGAUGAAGGCCUUCGGGUCGUAAAGCUCUGUGGGGGGGGACGAACAAGCCUGGGGCUAAUCACCCGGGCCCUGACGGUACCUCCUUAGCAAGCACCGGCUAACCAUGUGCCAGCAGCCGCGGUAAUACAUGGGGUGCAAACGUUGCUCGGAAUUAUUGGGCGUAAAGCGCGCGUAGGCGGUUACUUAAGUCGGAUGUGAAAUCCCUCGGCUUAACUGAGGAAGUGCACCCGAGACUGAGUAGCUAGAGUACGAAAGAGGGUCGCGGAAUUCCCGGUGUAGAGGUGAAAUUCGUAGAUAUCGGGAGGAACACCGGCGGCGAAGGCGGCGACCUGGUUCGAGACUGACGCUGAGGCGCGAAAGCGUGGGGAGCAAACAGGAUUAGAUACCCGCGUAGUCCA
rnacentral:rRNA from 1 species